UACGGAGGGGGCUAGCGUUGUUCGGAAUUACUGGGCGUAAAGCGCACGUAGGCGGCUUUGUAAGUUAGAGGUGAAAGCCCAGGGCUUAACCCUGGAAUUGCCUUUAAGACUGCAUCGCUAGAAUCGUGGAGAGGUAAGUGGAAUUCCGAGUGUAGAGGUGAAAUUCGUAGAUAUUCGGAAGAACACCAGUGGCGAAGGCGACUUACUGGACACGGUAUUGACGACGUGAGGUGGCGAAGGCGUGGGGAGCAAACAGG
rnacentral:rRNA from 1 species